UACGUAGGGGGCUAGCGUUGUCCGGAUUUAUUGGGCGUAAAGAGCGUGUAGGCGGCCAGAUAGGUCCUCUGUGAAAACUCGAGGCUUAACCUCGAGAUGUCGGUGGAAACCAUCUGGCUAGAGUCCGGAAGAGGAGAGUGGAAUUCCUGGUGUAGCGGUGAAAUGCGCAGAUAUCAGGAAGAACACCCGUGGCGAAAGCGGCUCUCUGGAACGGUACUGACGCUGAGACGCGAAAGCGUGGGGAGCGAACAGG
rnacentral:rRNA from 1 species